rnacentral:tRNA from 1 species
GGAGGGGUGCCAGAGCGGUUGAAUGGGACGGUCUCGAAAAUCGUUAUGGGGGCAACUCCAUCGAGGGUUCGAAUCCCUCCCCCUCCGCCA